UAUGUGGUGAGACACAAUGCCACAGGGAGAUAAUCAAGAACCUUCACCUGAUACCACAGGGCUGAUUACAGAGACUGCAGGAGCGUCUGCUGAAGGGGAUUAGGUUAAACAUAGCUUUUCUAUUUACAGGUGAUUUCUUCCGAGCACUUGAACAUUCUGCUCAGCCUAGGCUGGGGAAAUGAGUAACAGAAGGUCCCUUUUCCAGAGAAUUCACUGUGUGAGGAGAUGGGCCACCGGCUCCUCUUCUCUCAGAUGACGUGAGCAUUAAUUGGAAGGUGUCCGUGCUGUCUGCCAGGGAAAUGGAAAGCGUGAAGUCUCAUCUGGGAAACCCAAAGAAGGAUGAGCUUGUGAACUAAGAGAACUGUAAUCAGAGGAGACUUCUUUGUACUACUUGGUGGGGAGAACGUUUACACCCUGGCGGAAUGUCCUGAACUGUUCUGUGUGAGUGCAGGGAUCCAGGACAUCUGAAGGCCACCGCGCAGUGGAGUGACAGGUCUGCAGCUCCCCAGCAGAAGCACCUGGACUAAGUGUGCAACAAGACCUCAGUCAACACCAGGCCCAGAAGUCACUGAACUCUGUGCCAGGCGGGAAAGGUCAACAGGCCUCUGGCUGGGGUCCUCCUCCCCUGCUCCCCCUUCUGUGGCCUCUCCUGUCCCUAACCUAGGGACAAUAUUUAGAAAGCAGAGCUGGGUUCAGGCAGCCCUCUCAAUUACUUUGGCUGGAACCUUCCUGAGUACAUUUUGCUAUCUCUUUCUGAUGUAAAUGGGCACUCACAGUUGGCAGGGGAUGGUCUUUCUGUUGUAAUUACGCAAGGCAUAAUUAUAGUUCCAGGGCCUGGAAGCAGCAUAGAGUUCUUUGGAGAACUUCACAGGGAUUUUUCUGUUAUGACAUAAUUUAUCUGAGACGGGGGAGGGGAGGGGGGUAAGGCAAAAGGCAUUUCCAAAGAGGAAAUAAUAACACCAUUCAUGUCAGCGUUCCAUUCCAUAUUGAGAAGAAAUCGCAAAAUCAGAAUCUCCUUUUUUUUUUUGGCUGGGGGAUGGGGAGCCAUCUCAAAAUGUUGGAUCCAACUAGUGGUGGGAAAAUCUGGAUACAUACUGAUGAAUGGAUGUGGGUGGAGGAGGAUAUAAGGAUAUAAAAAUAAAUGCUUUUACUUGAGAAAGCAAUAAUGAAACAUCCAGCUGAAUCAAAGUGACUUUGUAAGUGCCCUGGGCCCUGGGGAUAUGGAAAAAGAUCUCACCACGGUUAUAGUAAUCUGGCCUGAACCUGAGUCACAGAAUUCCCUGUGCCCCCAGAUGUUCAGUAAGAGGGCAAGUCGUUACUCUGCUGAUGUAGUGAGAAAUCACAGAACUGCCAGCGUAAUGGAGGGGACAGUGACAGGGGUGGAGAGAUGGGGCUGUUUCUCUGUUAUGAAACAUGUUUUUGUAGGUAAUUCUGAUGUACAGUAGGUAUUAAAAAGAGCAACUAAAAGAUGUUUUAUUUUAAAUUAGUGCUAGAGUGAAAUUUCCCCCAUGGCACUAAUAAGCCGGCAGCUUUCAUACGCCCAUUUCCCUCCGAGUUUCUCACAGACUCCAGCUCUGUCUGUUCUGGCAUAAGGGUGAGCCACUGCAUCAUGAUUUCUGCCUUAGAAAAGGAGAGAACCCUCCUUACUCACUGUGCUGGUGAUAUUUAGAAAAGAGGGGUAUAACGCUCUUUUUUUGUUUGGAGGCGAGGAAGAUAGUAAAUGAAUUUUGCCUUUGCAAUUUAGAGCUAGGGAUGUAUAUAUCGGGGCAGUCCUGAGUAAAAAAAACACACAAAAAAACCCAAGGCAUUUCAAAAAACGGUGUUUUGUAAUUGAGUGAUCAUUUAAGAC